AUAUACAGCCAUAUCACCCUGAGAACGCAAGAUCUCGUCUGAUCUCGGAAGCUAAGCAGGGUCAGGCCCGGUCAGUACUUGGAUGGGAGACCAGCUGGGAAUAGCGGGUGCUGUGGGCU
rnacentral:rRNA from 1 species